rnacentral:rRNA from 1 species
CCUACGGGGCGCAGCAGUGAGGAAUAUUGGUCAAUGGACGAGAGUCUGAACCAGCCAAGCAGCGUGCAGGAUGACUGCCCUAUGGGUUGUAAACUUCUUUUAUAUGGGAGUAAACUGUUCCACGUGUGGGAUUUUGUAUGUACCGUAUGAAUAAGGAUCGGCUAACUCCGUGCCAGCAGCCGCGGUAAUACGGAGGAUUCGAGCGUUAUCCGGAUUUAUUGGGUUUAAAGGGAGCGUAGGUGGAUUGUUAAGUCAGUUGUGAAAGCUUGCGGCUCAACCGUAAAAUUGCAUUUGAUACUGGCCGUCUUGAGAACAGUAGAGGUAGGCGGAAUGCGUGGUGUAGCGGUGAAAUGCUUAGAUAUCACGAAGAACCCCGAUUGCGAAGGCAGUUCACUGGACUGCAACUGACACUGAGGCUCGAAAGUGUGGGUAUCAAACAGGAUUAGAUACCCCUGUAGUC